AUUUUUGUGGUUUAUACAGAACAGAGCACUCCAUACGACUAGAAGAACUGAACGGAAAUGUCAUCAAGUCUAAUCCAUACACCAGGACAUUGUGCACAGGAGUCCUCUGGCCAGAAAUGGUCUAUUCCAAGAUGACGAAGGAAAGAAUUCCCCAGAUCGUGGAUCCUUCAUGUGUGCAGUGCAGGCUCAGUCCCCAGCUGGACAGGAGGAGAGAGAAUCUGUGAUGGGCAGAACACGGCUUCUGUAUUUCAGGCUCCUUUUGACUUGUCACACAGUGGUGAUGUUUUCUGGUCAAGUUACAAGGCAUCCUCCCCCAGAGAAUGACACCGUGCAAGCAGAGACCCUCCAUGGAACUGAAAAUACAGUCUUUUCCAGAAACAAUGAAACAGCCACCACUACAGAUAAAAGCGUUCGUGUAACUACGCUGCAGACAGCAAGAACAAGCUGGGAUACUGCUGUGACCACAAUCACUAGUGUAUCUACUUUAAGACCUUCAUCACACUUUGCACAAAGCUUCCCUUAUCCCACUAACGCAGACAUCACCAGACUGUCAGAUACCACUGCCAGAUCUAGUUCUGUUACAGCACUGUCAUCUACACUCUUGCCAUUUAAUAAUUUUACAAAGCAUACGGCCAGCGGAGAUUCUAAUCCCAUAACAUCAACAACAACACUGAAACCAGCAGCUCUGCAUCCUACAGCUGAUUCUCAAAAUGUCAGUGAAGCUUUGGAUUCAGUUCCUACAACCCAGGUUUCAACUUUCUUAAGUACAGGAAAAGAAAAGCGCAAUAUUCCCACCACCCACUGCAUGACAGCUCUUCUGAAACAGGUUUGUAUAAAAUGCAAACAUACAUGUUCAAACCUAC
rnacentral:lncRNA from 1 species